GAUGUGAGGGCAAUCUGGUUGCAACAUCUGUUACCACAUUGACCGCCAGGACUGGUUCAGCUGAUCUGGCUGGCUAGGCAGGUGCCCCGUUCCUCUGAAACCUGCUCGCUCGGUCGAAGAGGACGACUGUCUCCGAUAGAGGAGGAUGGGUCUUCGGUCAAGAGCAUACAGGUAGCUUUGCUCCCCUGCUGGAACCUCCAAACAAGCUCUCAUCACUGGUAGG
rnacentral:lncRNA from 1 species